rnacentral:rRNA from 1 species
AUAUACAGAGAGCCCCUUGGUGCAGUACACGUGAAAAUGCUAGAAGCAAAGCUAAGCAGGGCCGGGCCUGGUUAGUACUUGGAUGGGAGACCACCUAGGAAGACCAGGUGCUGUAGGUG